GAUGAAGAACGCAGCGAAAUGCGAUACGUAAUGUGAAUUGCAGAAAUCAGUGAAUCAUCGAGUCUUUGAACGCACAUUGCGCCCCCUGGUAUUCCGGGGGGCAUGCCUGUCCGAGCGUCAUUACAACCCUCAAGCUCAGCUUGGUGUUGGGCCCCGCCGCCCCGGCGGGCCCUAAAGUCAGUGGCGGUGCCGUCCGGCUCCGAGCGUAGUAAUUCUUCUCGCUCUGGAGGUCCGGUCGUGUGCUCGCCAGCAACCCCCAAUUUUUUUCAGGUUGACCUCGGAUCAGGUAGGGAUACCCGCUGAACUUAAGCAUAUCAAUAAGCGGAGGA
rnacentral:misc_RNA from 1 species